CCCUGUGCCCAGCAGGGUAACGGGGUCUUUGUUAGAGACCGGGAGUCACAAAAUCAAAGUUUGCAGUUCGUGAUUAGCCCCUACUAUCAAAUCAAGAAAAAUUACCUCCUUUUUUUUGCCAAAAGAGGGCACCUCUCUCUCUCCAGGUCCGGUCGCUGACCGCCUUCUGGAGGAGUCGGUCCAUCUCCACCUUCCCCACACCGGGCAUCUGAAGGGACAUGGUGUGUGGAGGAGCCAGGCAGCUCUCCAACUGCAACGUGGUGAAAAACUGCCUUGUUUUUAAGGUGAUCCGCAAAGCAUCACGUUGCAGCAUUUUAUUCUCUCUUCAUCAGUCUUCGGCAUAGACUGACAUAUGGCAAUUAAAAUUAGCAGCAAUGCUGGAAAACGUUAAACAGCCAAAAGAAGAUGAAGACAAGACAGCAGAUAACCAGACUCUGUGCCAAGGGCUAAAGCCGACGUUCCUUUGGGUCACAGCUCUGCGUUGGAAAGAUCUCCUGAGUUUUCCCAGCAGAACUGAUCACUUGGUGCAUUUGUUCCCACCAAUGGGCUUUGGAAUGGUCUUCUGACAGCGAAGAACUUCAGUUAAAUCAUACCAAGUUCCUGGAAACCAAAAAAUUCCAGCUGGAAUUUAACUGGGAAUGCCUCAGAGCCAGUCAAACCACUCUAUGCCAAAAAUAGAAAGACUCACACAUGUAGCAUUAAUAAAUUGUAACAUUGUGCCUUUGUGAAGAA